rnacentral:rRNA from 1 species
ACNUGCAGUCGAGCGAAUCUUGAGGUGCUUGCACCUCUUGNUUAGCGGCGGACNNNNGNNNAACACGUGGGCAACCUGCCUGUAAGACUGGGAUAACUUCGGGAAACCGGAGCUAAUACCGGAUAAUCCUUUUCCUCUCAUGAGGAAAAGCUGAAAGUCGGUUUACGCUGACACUUACAGAUGGGCCCGCGGCGCAUUAGCUAGUUGGUGAGGUAACGGCUCACCAAGGCGACGAUGCGUAGCCGACCUGAGAGGGUGAUCGGCCACACUGGGACUGAGACACGGCCCAGACUCCUACGGGAGGCAGCAGUAGGGAAUCUUCCGCAAUGGACGAAAGUCUGACGGAGCAACGCCGCGUGAGCGAUGAAGGCCUUCGGGUCGUAAAGCUCUGUUGUUAGGGAAGAACAAGUACCGGAGUAACUGCCGGUACCUUGACGGUACCUAACCAGAAAGNNACGGCUAACUACGUGCCAGCAGCCGCGGUAAUACGUAGGUGGCAAGCGUUGUCCGGAAUUAUUGGGCGUAAAGCGCGCGCAGGCGGUCCUUUAAGUCUGAUGUGAAAGCCCACGGCUCAACCGUGGAGGGUCAUUGGAAACUGGGGGACUUGAGUACAGAAGAGGAAAGCGGAAUUCCACGUGUAGCGGUGAAAUGCGUAGAGAUGUGGAGGANCACCAGUGGCGAAGGNNNCUUUCUGGUCUGUAACUGACGCUGAGGCGCGAAA